rnacentral:tRNA from 4 species
GCAUCUGUAGUCUAAUGGAUAGAACGUCGCCCUCCGGAGGCGAUAAUGCCAGUUCGAUUCUGGCCAGAUGCA